CAGCAACAGGACAAGCAAUCAAUCAUACAUAUCUGCUUUCCUGGACAAACAUUGUCUUCCAGUCCUGGUGAGGAGAAUCCUGAUGAUUUAACAGCUGGCUGGAGUCCUGUGUCGUCCAGCAUCUCUGCCAGUUUCUGCAGAAAGCCCUGAAGUGUGCCAACGUUCCCGUGUCUGUGGAUACAACUCUAGUGGUGCCCACUCCCUUUGCUCCUUGCAGCCGCGAGAAGAACCGUGCAGGGGGAAGAGUCCAGGGAAUACGGAGCUUCAAACCAGAGCCCUUUGGGUACCUGUGGCCUUUGGAGUUGAGGACUGAGCACCUUCCAGAACUCUCUCAGAGGGAAGCAGUGCCUAGAGCUGAUUUCCAUCAUAGCAGGUAUGGAGAGGAAAUGGGCCUUUGGGUGGGCCAGCUUCCUCUUCAAGCUGAGGAAGGAAAAUGGAGAGUGGAAUGCCAGCAACCCAGGAAAGCCAAGGAAAUGACCCAAUUCUCUUGAGUUUGUGAAGUGUCCUGUGAGAAUUCUAGAAUUUCCAUGAAAAAAAUUCCUUGGGGUGCCUGGAUGGCUCAGUCAGUUGAGCAUCUGGCUCAGGUCAUGAUCUCUUGGUUCAUCAG